rnacentral:rRNA from 1 species
UACGGGGGGGGCAAGCGUUGUUCGGAAUUACUGGGCGUAAAGGGCUCGUGGGCGGCCAACUAAGUCGGAUGUGAAAUCCCCAGGCUUAACCUGGGAAUUGCAUCCGAUACUGGAUGGCUUGAAUCCGGGAGAGGGAUGCGGAAUUCCAGGUGUAGCGGUGAAAUGCGUAGAUAUCUGGAGGAACACCGGUGGCGAAGGCGGCAUCCUGGACCGGCAUUGACGCUGAGGAGCGAAAGCCAGGGGAGCAAACAGG